rnacentral:ncRNA from 1 species
GAGAAUGCAAUGAAGGGGAGAGUACGUCCUCGCGGCAUGGUUCAGAGAGUCCCGGCAGCUGAAAAGGGACCCAUGCGGUGGGCAGAACAUGGCCCCGGAGCCGCGCGGCUCAGCGCUUCGGCGCAGGCUGCGAUGGGUGCGCCCAUUACAGCGUCAGGGUAUCGCGUGCCGGUUUCGGUAGGCUUGUACCCGCAGAGGCUCACGCCGCGAGGUGUGGGUGAAUCAAGGUGGUAACACGGCUUUCUUCGCCGCCCUUGAG